rnacentral:tRNA from 1 species
GGGGGCGUAGCUCAGCCAGGAAUGAGCGCCUGCCUUGCAAGCAGGAUGGCGCGAGUUCGAAUCUCGCCGCCUCCACCA